GCCGGCGACCGGCGCACGGGUGAGUAACGCGUAUCCAACCUUCCGUACACUCAGGGAUAGCCUUUCGAAAGAAAGAUUAAUACCUGAUGGUAUGAUGAGAUUGCAUGAUAGCAUCAUUAAAGAUUUAUCGGUGUACGAUGGGGAUGCGUUCCAUUAGGUAGUAGGCGGGGUAACGGCCCACCUAGCCAACGAUGGAUAGGGGUUCUGAGAGGAAGGUCCCCCACAUUGGAACUGAGACACGGUCCAAACUCCUACGGGAGGCAGCAGUGAGGAAUAUUGGUCAAUGGACGAGAGUCUGAACCAGCCAAGUAGCGUGAAGGAUGAAGGUCCUACGGAUUGUAAACUUCUUUUAUAAGGGAAUAAACCCUCCCACGUGUGGGAGCUUGUAUGUACCUUAUGAAUAAGCAUCGGCUAACUCCGUGCCAGCAGCCGCGGUAAUACGGAGGAUGCGAGCGUUAUCCGGAUUUAUUGGGUUUAAAGGGAGCGCAGACGGGUCGUUAAGUCAGCUGUGAAAGUUUGGGGCUCAACCUUAAAAUUGCAGUUGAUACUGGCGUCCUUGAGUGCGGUUGAGGUGUGCGGAAUUCGUGGUGUAGCGGUGAAAUGCUUAGAUAUCACGAAGAACUCCGAUUGCGAAGGCA
rnacentral:rRNA from 1 species